AUGCAUGUUGCCACCCCCGGGCGCAUUGUCUUGGUCAAAGCGGUCCUCACAGCCAUUGCGAUCUACCAUCUCACGCCGCUGGAGCUGCCUGCUGAGAUCAGGAAAAAGAUUGAUAGUCUGCGACGUGCCUACCUUUGGGCUGGUUGUGAUAAGGUGUCGGGUGGAAAGUGCAAGGUUAACUGGGAGCUUGUUUGCAAGCCUAAGAUUUUUGGCGGCUUGGGUGUGCUUAAUCUCGAGAAGUUUGCGACCGCGUUUCGUCUUCGCUGGCUAUGGUUUGAAUGGGCAGACCCUCCUAAGACUUGGAUGGGGAUGGAAACACCCUGUUCAAACAGUGACAGAGAUUUGUUCUCGGCUGCCACAAUAGUGACUAUCGGGGACGGCAAAAAGGCUAAAUUCUAGGAAUCCCCAUGGCUAAAUGGUCUCCGGCCUAAAGACAUCGCGCCAAAGAUCUUUGAAGUGUCCAAGAAGAAGGCAUGUCUGGUUAACAAGGCCCUUGACAACAACUUCUGGAUCCAGCAAAUCGACACAACUUAG
rnacentral:rRNA from 1 species